UCUAACUGGGGGUGGGGGGUGGGGAGUGGGAUAUGCUUUAGUAUUCAUACUUUUAAGUCAAUUAAAAUUGGUUUAUCUGGUUGCUUUAGACCAUAGGAAAGUUAAAAGGUCAUGACUUUUUUUGGCUCCAAUUAAAGAAUUUCCUCAUGACCAACUCUACUGUAAAUUCAACCUGUUUCUUUAGGAGAUUUAAGCCCCCAAUGAAGAAUAAAAAGUCAACCCCAAGGAGACUUAGAGUCUGAGCUGUGAUUAAAUUUAUGCUUCGAUUCAAAAAUUAUAGAAGGUAACUGGGAGCCCCUCCAGCCAAGCCGAAGCCAGGUUUAUAACCCCCACUCCAUUCAUCAGGAUUAACAGUUAAUUUUAAUUCAAAAUCAGAGUGAGCGGGGGUCCUCCAGAGAGCCUCCCCGGGCACCCUGGAGCCAGCACGCUACUUUCCUGACCAACAGCAGCCGGCUGUUUUACCUGAGAAGUUCCUAAAUGGCGACAGGCCAAGGAUUUCAGGCAGAAAUGACAGACGUGAAGGUCCCAGGGACACAGCACUAUUUACAGGUGUCCUCUGGGAAUUUGGAAGCGACCAGAAAAUUCUCAACGUGCACAAAUUCAGAUAGGGCAAUUCCAUUCUUAGGACCCUACCGUGCGGAAAUAUUCAUGCACGCACACGAAGACCAUGCACCGGGAUGUUUAUCAGAACGCCGUUCGCGACAGCAGGAGGGGCAGUAACGUAAGUGACCGCCAGUGGGGAGCAGGUUGAAUAAAUGAUUGUAUCUUCACACGCAGGGCUAACAGUCCGGCAAAAGAAGGAGGUAGAUUUAUGUGUAGUGGCUGGAAGACGUCCUUGGCCAACCGUCUCGUGAAUAAAGCAAGCUUCGGAAUGGAAUGCGACCCCAGUGAAAAAAACAAUAGCAUCGACAUAGGCCACGGUGGGUAGAAACGUGCACUCUGCCGUCAGACCGGCCUGGGUUCAGGUUCUAGCUCUUCUGUUUACCUGCCAGUCACCACGACACGAGGAGAGGGCCUGGUUUUCCUCGUCUGCAAAAUGGGGCACGUAAAAGUGCCUGCCUCAUACACACACACGAGGCUUUCAGACAAAUAAUCAAACUAUUAGUAAUGAGCAACUCUGGGGAGCUAGACUGGGAGAGAAGUGGGGUUUACAUUUUUACUGUAUUAACUUCCAGGCCAUUUUAUAGUUUUUGUAAGAAUGUUUAAACAGACUUUUGAAAAAAUGUUGUCUCUGAACUGGAGGCGGACUAUUAACAGAUGACAGCUCCUGCCACGCCCUCAACUGACUGAGGAUUAAUGAAGGACCUUGAGGAUUUAUCAAGGACCUUGAGAUACUCUGAGGUGCUCCUUCUAGGUGACAGAGGCCUUGGUCUACAGGAAAGCCAGGCCCGUGGAAAAACACAAAAUUCUCCGCACAAAUGACUCUCUCCAGACCCCCACCCUACAAGGCUUGACCAAACUCUAGCAUGGCUUCUACCAGCCCAAAACCGUGUCCCUAGGAUGACCUUAGCCUUCUUAAAAUGCCAAUCUAAGAAAGCUCGACACUGUCAAAAGAAUUUACUGGUUGUUCCAGCUAAAGCCCGACUACAGGUCCCCGAUGUCUCUUUUCUUAGAGCACUGACUCUAGAAAAAUUGCAGUUAUAAAUCCUUUCUCUGCCCCUUUAAAAUCGAAAACUUCUACCACCCAGAAAUGUUUCCUCAAGGAUCUGGGAGCCACCCCUAUGGAGCGUAGACACCCAGGCCGAUGGCUGCCCUGACUCCCAGUCUGGUGCGGAAAUAGGAGCCCCAGUCUGGUGGGUGCCUUGCUCCAAUUCGCGAACUAUCUCCUGUCCUAAAGAUACGAGAAGCGUGUCUCUCCUCUGGAUACGCACCGAAUGGCAAACGCAGAUGGCCCCAUCACACCGACCCCCCAGCAUGUCCUGCAGUAGUGUUCCUGUAGCACAACCCAGUGUUUAAAAAUUCUCCCACCUUCUCUCUCAGUGGAGUAGAGCUCGGUUCUCUGCCGAAGGCUCCCCCUCCUGCCGUCCCUUUCCCAGCUGCCUGCCUCUGUUUCUCUUUGACACCACUGGUGACAGGGGAGCUCGGUCCAAUGGAAAGCCACGACCUUGGAGGCGGGAGGCCUUGGGAUUGACCCUAAUGGUAUUUUCUAAAUCUCUGUCUCCCAGUAAACAUUGGCGGAAGAAGGAGGUCGCGGUGGCUCGCUGUAGAGCGGUGGACGCUUCAGACUUUUCAGGGGCCUCAAAGCCACUGCAGACACGGUGAAGAGAACAGGAACCUUGGGAUCUGGUAUGGUUCCAAACUGCAGAAGCAGAGGGAUAUUCAUCAACACGAUGACUCAGGAAAUGAGCGUUCUCAUGCUCUGCCUGCCAUUCCAGGCUUUAACACGCUUAUACUGAAGAAAAGAGCACUACACGGGAUGUACAACCGGAAGCUAAAGAUUGGUACGAUGGAAGAGAUUUCGUUCUUCCUGAUAACAGAAUAAUAUAAAAAGCACUUUAAAAUGCUGAAGUCAUAGAGGACACUUAUCGUGAUGAGCACUGAGAAAUGGAUGGAAUCGCUGAGUCAUUAUAUUGUCCCCCUAAACCCUCGUACACCUACAGCACUGCAUGAUAAUUCCACUUCCGUAAAGAAAAUAAAAUGCUUAGAGUCAUUUUUUUCGUGUUUUUGGUUUUGUUUUUUUAAUCUUCACAACAAUCCUUAAGAAUGAGGAAACCGAGAUGCAGAGAGUUUAAAUGUUUUGGCCAAGGUCACAGAGUAAGUGGUGGGGAAGGAAUUAGCAACCCAUAUUCCCUGGGGAACAAACUUCAGCAAGAGGAAAUCAGUGAGGAAAACCUAGAGGAUUCCCAGCAAAUUGGAGAAAAGAAUUUGAUUCUAUUCGGAGGCAAAUUCUAUUUGUUGGCGCUAGUCAAAGAAACGUGACAUUUGCCUUCAGUAAGCUACUUCCUUUUUCAGAGUUUGCCUGUAUUGUUGACAGAUUUAUCGGUCUGUAAGAAAAAUCUUAUUAACAGUACUUUAAACAAAUAGGGGUUUAUUCGUCACAUGUAACAAGAAGGCAGAGGUGGACAGGUGCUAGUGGUGAUUUCCCAUUUCAGCAAUGUCAGGGCUGACGUCUCUGUGUAUUUCUGAGCCUUUCUGUCAUGGCUGCAAGAUGGCUGCUGGAGCUGGGGGGAAUGUCUGCGUUCAAGGCAGGAAGAAGGUGGAAGGUCGGUGCCAUCCAUAUCUGUUCCCUUUAUCAGGAAGGCAAAAGUUUUCUCACAGCCAUCGGCUGACUUCCACUGGGGUCCCACUGGCCAAAAUAGGUCACAUGGCUGCUCCUGCCGCAGAGGAGACUAGGGAAGUAGGAAACAGGACUGCUAUGAUUGAGUUGAAGCCGCCAUGCUCCAUGGGGGGAGGCUGGGCCCUGGGGGUAGCAAAAAAGAAAGGAGAAGUGGCCACUGGAAGUGACUUAGUGUAUCUACAACAGCCUCCUUCUCUCCUUCUCUCUUCCCUUCAGCCAAGCAACUGGGUUCCUACAGUGCUUUGAUCUGAGUAGCCGACAUGCUCUAGCUAACGUGUGAGUCACUAGGGAGCUGAGAUGGGCCUGUUCACAAUAGUUCACAAUAGUUCAUUUUCAAUAGGGUGUCUUCAAAGGAACUUAAAUCCUAACACUGUAGAAAUGGGUUCUGGAAAGUCAUCCCUUUGCAGGGGCAAACAUCGAUGGAGGAGUUCAAAUGUUCACUGGGGUGACGUUCUGGCAAGUAUUUAUUUCUGGGCAGUAAAUAGAAUCAGAGGCAUUCCAAACAUGGAGUAAUAACUUGAUGGAUCACUCAAACAGGGAGGGUUGGCUUUUGCAUCAGGACAUGAUGCUGGACAGCUUUUUAGAGCGUUAAACUUAGAGUUACCGCAUGACCAAGCAAUUCCGCUCCCAGGUACUUACCCCAGAGGAAUGAAGACAUAUGUUACACAAAGAUAUAAAUGUGCAUAGCAACUUCAUUUAUUAUAGCCCCAAACAAAGCACAAAGCAAAACAAAACAACUCCCUCACCUGGCAAUUAGAAACAGAACAAAUGUCUGUCAGCUGGUGAAUAAGGAAACAAACUGAAACACAGUCACGAGAUGGAAGACUGUUUAUCAGAAGAAAGGAACAAACAUCUGAUACACGGAACAGUGUGUUUGAAUCUCAAAAGCAUUACUAUAAAUGAAAGACACCAGUAGAAAGAGACUACUGACUGUCAAAUGCCAUUUACAUGAAAUUCUGGAAAAGACAAACUGAUCUGUAGUAACAGAAAGCAUAUCAGUGAUUUACGGAAGCUGGGGGUACAUCUGGGGGAGACGGGAAAGUUUUUGAUUGGUGUGGUGGUACGCAUUUGUCAAAAUUCAACAAAAUGUAUCCUCAAAACAGGUGCCUUGUAAUACGUCAAUGAUAGGUCCAUAAAGUUGGUUUGUAUUUUGAAAAGUCCUACCCAUGUCUCCAUUUUCAUGUUUUCUUUUGCUUUUGUUUCCUUUG